UCCUACGGGAGGCAGCAGUGGGGAAUCUUAGACAAUGGGCGCAAGCCUGAUCUAGCCAUGCCGCGUGAGUGAUGAAGGCCCUAGGGUCGUAAAGCUCUUUCGCCUGUGAAGAUAAUGACUGUAGCAGGUAAAGAAACCCCGGCUAACUCCGUGCCAGCAGCCGCGGUAAUACGGAGGGGGUUAGCGUUGUUCGGAAUUACUGGGCGUAAAGCGCGCGUAGGCGGACAUUUAAGUCAGAGGUGAAAUCCCAGGGCUCAACCCUGGAACUGCCUUUGAUACUGGGUGUCUUGAGUUCGAGAGAGGUGAGUGGAAUUCCGAGUGUAGAGGUGAAAUUCGUAGAUAUUCGGAGGAACACCAGUGGCGAAGGCGGCUCACUGGCUCGAUACUGACGCUGAGGUGCGAAAGUGUGGGGAGCAAACAGGAUUAGAUACCCUGGUAGUCCACACCGUAAACGAUGAAUGCCAGUCGUCGGGCAGUAUACUGUUCGGUGACACACCUAACGGAUUAAGCAUUCCGC
rnacentral:rRNA from 1 species